GACGAACGCUGGCGGCGUGCUUAACACAUGCAAGUCGAGCGGUAAGGCCCUUUCGGGGGUACGACGAGCGGCGAACGGGUGAGUAACACGUGGGUGACCUGCCCUCAGCUCUGGGAUAAGCCCGGGAAACUGGGUCUAAUACUGGAUAUGACUCCACGGUGCAUGCCGUGGGGUGGAAAGCCUUGUGCGGCUGAGGAUGGGCCCGCGGCCUAUCAGCUUGUUGGUGGGGUGAUGGCCUACCAAGGCGACGACGGGUAGCCGGCCUGAGAGGGCGACCGGCCACACUGGGGACUGAGACACGGCCCAGACUCCUACGGGAGGCAGCAGUGGGGAAUCUUGCGCAAUGGGCGAAAGCCUGACGCAGCGACGCCGCGUGA
rnacentral:rRNA from 1 species